AAUUUUUUUUAGUUAAAAUUUUUUGGUGAUCCGAAUCGAACCAUUUUAUUAAUAAUCCAAACUCAAAACAAGUUCACAAGUAUACAUUGAUUGGAAAGGCCUAAACAAUUGACCCGAUCCACCAUAUUGGAAUAUGAAGAGUUUCCUAAUAAAUAUAAAAUGUCCAUUUGGACAAGAGUACUGAGUACUCAUCUUCCUUUUCUGUCGCCGCCUCUCUUCGGGUAUGUUUUCUCUGAGCUAGAAUCGAAGCCUUAUCAGGUAUAUUCUGUGGGUAAUCUUCAAGAUUGAGCCUGGGAUGUCUAUAAUGGUGCUUCGUCUAUCAUUUCCACCAACCUCUGGUGGUCGGGGUUCAUAUCCAAGGAAUGACGUAUGCUACCACUUAGAUUUUCCCUUUUCUGGUCUGCUGGUGGAUCAUCUUGGUCUUUACUGAUUUGAAGCAAUCCGAGCUGUAGCGGGAAAAUCCAUGUACCCCUAUUUUUGUUGAAGGUUUUUUGUAGCUAGGGCAGCUAGCUAUAUUAAGCACAAGAUUAUAGUCUCUGUUAGAAAACUAUUUAAGUUGUGCAUAUGUAUCUAUCGGAUUCCCGUGGCUUUUUAUUUAUUGGGACCCCCUUUGCGA